rnacentral:rRNA from 1 species
GACGAACCGUGCGAACGUUAUUCGGAAUUACUGGGCUUAAAGCGCGUGUAGGUGGAGGGGCGCAUCGAUUGCUGAAAGCCCCCGGCUCAACCGGGGAAGUGGCGUCGAGAUGGCCUGUCUUGAGGGGGGUAGGGGGAUCUGGAACUUCCGGUGGAGCGGUGAAAUGCGUUGAGAUCGGAAGGAACGCCCGUGGCGAAAGCGAGGUCCUGGACCCUUUCUGACACUGAGACGCGAAAGCCAGGGGAGCAAACGGG